UUUUUUAUAGUAUAACUAGUAUAAUUACCUUCCAAGUAAAAGGUCUUCUAUAAGUUUUAUAAGUAAGAU
rnacentral:tRNA from 1 species